GACGAACGCUGGCGGCGUGCCUAACACAUGCAAGUCGUACGGGACCGGGGGCAACUCCGGUUCAGUGGCAGACGGGUGCGUAACGCGUGAGGAACUUGUCCGGUGGCGGGGGAUAGCCGGCCCAACGGCCGGGUAAUACCGCAUACGCUCGUUCGGGGGCAUCCCUGGGCGAGGAAAGCAGCCGCAAGGUUGCGCCGACGGAGGGCCUCGCGACCUAUCAGCUUGUUGGCGGGGUAACGGCCCACCAAGGCGACGACGGGUAGCUGGUCUGAGAGGAUGAUCAGCCACAUUGGGACUGAGACACGGCCCAGACUCCUACGGGAGGCAGCAGUGGGGAAUAUUGCGCAAUGGCCGCAAGGCUGACGCAGCGACGCCGCGUGUGGGAUGACGGUCUUCGGAUUGUAAACCCCUGUCGAAGUGGGACGAAUGAAUCGCGCACUAACACUGCGACGG
rnacentral:rRNA from 1 species